AAAGAGAAAAUGCUCAAGGGGGAGUGGUCUGCACCUCCAACACCAGGGAAACUCAGUCAAGCAAGUCCUGAGAAGCAGGCGCUGUACUGAGGCUCAAUGUCAGCCUGUGAGCAAUUUUACCGCUCAGAUCUGUGAGGAUAACGAGUCUCCUUGGGGUUGGUGGAGCAGCUCUUACUGGGGAGCCAGAAGAAGUACGUGGAUCUGGACUGCAGCCCAGGAGCACUUGCUGGGGCAGCUUGGGAGAUGUCACCAGUAGUGACGGGAAGGACCCCUGGCUCUGUCCCAAAGUCAAAGUGACUGUGAAGGGAGACGUCGUGAUGGAUUCAGGAUUGAGGCUGCCACACAGCACAACUAAAGACCCUCAGAAAAGAGGACUCCAGAGCUGCUGCAGGAAGUGGCCAGGACCAUGGGAUGAGUGCGCUGGAACUGAGGGGGAGGACUUUAAAGGGGAUUCAUGGCAAAGUGUCCUUUCCUGGAAUAAUUUUUAAAUUUUAAAAGAUGCAAUCAUUCAUAGUAGUUUUUGAUCAGAUCUUGUGAUUGCAGUAAGUCAGGCAGCCAGCUUUCCACUCUUCCCUUCCCUUCCUUCCUUUUUCAUCCUUUCUGUUCCUUCUUCAUGCUGCUAUUUCUGCUCUUGUAACUGCUUCUUCUCACAUAGUUAUUAUGAGACUCAGUAACUUUUAAGAGAAUAUUUUAAAUUUCAUUAAUCUCUUUGGUAUUUUUUUUAUUACAUUAUUACACCUAUGCUUUUUGUUUGUUUGCUUGCUUGUGUGUGUUGAUAAAUGAAAUUUUUCCCCUUUGAGCCAGGGUCUCACUGUGUAGUCCAGGCUGGUCCUGAACUCACUAUGUAGCCCAGGGUGACCUCAAACUCACAGCAAUCUUCCUGUCUCAGCCUCCCCAGUGCUGGGAUUACAGGCUUGUGCCUCCAGGCCUGCUGAUUGUUUGUGUUGAGACAGGGUCUCAUCGUGUAGUUUAGGCUAGCCUUGAACUUACUGUGUAGCCCAGGCUGGUGACCUUCCUGCCCCAGGCUCCUGGGUGCUGGAAUAAAGGUGUGCUCUGCUGUGCUGAGCUCUACUUCUGUGCUGUUUUGGAAUGAAGACCAAGAUGACCCCCUGGAGGAAGCCAGCAACAGCUUACAGAUUUGUACUCACGCGGCACUAAAGUAGAAACAGUAGCGGUGCUGACGUGCUUUUUGUUCACUGACCAGAGCCUGCUCCACCCCCCACCCCCCCACCGUGUCUCACACACACACACACCGCAUGUGGAAUAGCACAGGCUUUUAGGUCGUGAGUGACAAAUUACAUGUGUGCCUCGGAUGAUACUCGGAUUUGAGGGGUCUGGCUGGGCGCCCCGGCUUGCUCUCCUCUCCCCAGCCGUCCCUAGUACCCCCCGGGCUCCUUUCCCUGAUCCGAGCCGCCCGGAAACUGCUCAGCCUCUCGGUCCUAGUGCCCAGGGACCUGGAGCCCUGGGGACUUGCUGUGUGUUCUGAGCCCUCCUAAGCCACAGAUGUCUGAACCCCCCAGGUGAGCACUGGUCCCCGGGAUGUGGGACCUGAGGUUUCAGGGUGCUUGGCCCUGAGAGGCACCAGACAGGAGCCAGUCUGGUCAGCCCAGACCCGAGAGGCGCUGGCCUUGUGCGCCCCCCACCCCGGGUCACACCGGAGUCACAGUCACAGGUGCAGCUGGGACAGGAGGGGCGGACACUCACUCGCUGGUAAGCAUCUGCCAACCUUGUGUUCUCGGCACACAGUCCACUCUGUGCCGAGGUGCUGGCCUCUGGCCUCCAGGGCAUUUCCUUCAACUUCUGCUCUCAUACAAUCUGACUUGUCUAAAUUUUCAAAUGGAAAACAAUAGAAAGUGAAGCAGACUCUUGCUUUGUUGAGCCCUCCUUGACUCCUCUAGUUGGUUCUUAAGUCUUCCAAGGUUGACAGGGUGGGGUUUGCUUUCCCGAUUCGCUUUUCGCUCUCUCCUACUAUGAGAGUAUAAUGACCAAGUAUCACAUUCUAUUUUUUUUUUUUUGAGACAGUCUCACUAAUGUAUCCCAGUCUGGCCUGGAACUCACAGCGAUCCUCCUGCCUCAGCCUCCCAAGUGCUGUGCUUACAGGCGUGCACCACCACACCCAGGUUAAAAUCAUCACAUUCUGAGCCCUUGAAGUUGGGUGAAAAGAAGGCAGGAUGGACAGCCUUUGGGGACUGAGCCCCAAAAGGCCACCUUGGCUCUCCCAUGAGAACAUAAAGAAGUCUGUCCCGUCUCGAGGGCUUUGCAGAUUUGCUUAAUGACACGAUCACCUGUCCCCUCCAGCCGAACCCUUCCGAGGCAGGAGCAGCCAUCCCUUCAGGUGCUUCUCCCUGUCACAGCCAUAGGAAAGAAGUCAGCGUGCUGAUUCUGGCUGUCAUGGGUUGGGCCCCUGACAUGCCAGCUUCUGGGUUGGAGAUGACAUUGGUGCCUCAGUUUCCCCAGCAGAAGCUGUGUUUCCUUUGGAAGAGUUGCUUCCUGCUCUCUCUAGAGAUGGAGGGAAAAGAGAUCCUUCCCUCCCUCCCCAGUUAGGGCAGGACUCAGUGCUUCCCGGGAUGGUGUAAUCCCUCUCCAUCUACAAAUUAGCUCGAGGUUUUAUUGUCUAAUCACUUC
rnacentral:lncRNA from 1 species